rfam:Schistosoma mansoni strain Puerto Rico chromosome 1, complete genome
GCACUGCGGAGCAGUCCCACAAUAGGACGAAACGGCCGUCCAGUGC